AAAGACACUCCCACCAGCACUUUGGGAGGCCGAGGCGGGCAGAUCACGAGGUCGGGAGAUCGAGACCAUCCUGGCUAACAUGGUGAAACCCGGUCUCUACUAAAAAAUACAAAAAAAAAAAAGUUAGCCGGGCGUGGUGGCGGGCGCCUGUGGUCCCAGCUACUUGGAGGCUGAGGCAGGAGAAUGGCGUGAACCCGGGAGGCGGAGCUU
rnacentral:lncRNA from 1 species